CCUACGGGUGGCUGCAGUGAGGAAUAUUGGUCAAUGGGCGGAAGCCUGAACCAGCCAAGUCGCGUGAGGGAAUAAAGUGCGGGACGUGUCCCGUUUUGUAUGUACCUUAUGAAUAAGGAUCGGCUAACUCCGUGCCAGCAGCCGCGGUAAAACGGAGGAUCCGAGCGUUAUCCGGAUUUAUUGGGUUGAAAGGGUGCGUAGGCGGUCUUUUAAGUCAGCGGUGAAAGUCUUUGGCUCAACCAUAGUAUGACCGUUGAACUGGGGCGGCUUGAGUAUGUGUGAGGCAGGCGGAAUGCGUGGGGGAGCGGGGAAAGGCUUAGAUAUCACGCAGAACCCCGAGUGCGAAGGCAGCCUGCCAGGCCAUGACUGACGCUGAUGCACGAAAGCGUGGGGAUCAAACAGGAUUAGAUACCCGUGUAGUC
rnacentral:rRNA from 1 species